CAAUAGCGUAUAUUAAAGUUGUUGCGGUUAAAAGCUCGUAGUUGGAUUUCUGCCGUAGACGAUCGGUCCGCUCUUUGAGCGUGUAUCUGAUUCGGCUAUGGCAUCCUCGUGAGUUGCGUUGCUGUGCUUGAUUGCAUGGUGCGAAGUUCACGACUUUUACUUUGAGGAAAUUAGAGUGUUCACGGCAGGCAAUUGCCCUGAAUAUAUUAGCAUGGAAUAAUAAUAUAGGAUCACGACCCUAUUUUGUUGGUUUCUAGAGUUGUGAUAAUGAUUAAUAGGGACAAUUGGGGGCAUUUGUAUUAACACGUCAGAGGUGGAAUUCUUGGAUUGUGUUACGACAAACUACUGCGAAAGCAUUUGCCAAGGAUGUUUUCAUUGAUCAAGAACGAAAGUAAGGGGAUCGAAGACGAUCAGAUACCAU
rnacentral:rRNA from 1 species